rnacentral:lncRNA from 1 species
CCUCCCGAACAUCUAAAAAUAUAAGUCUAUUAUCUUUGUUCGUGUAGCCAUUUUCCGAACUCAGAAGACUGCAGGUUGAGCCUUUGAAGAAGGAUUUGCGGUUUGAACAACUUGUAAAGAAAAUGAUUGGAAUUCAAGGAGCAUUCCGUGUUGCCCCGAGAUUUGGCAGCAUGAUUUGCCAAAGUCGCUCUAUUGUUUCGGGUGUGCCCCGAACAAAAAUUUCAAAAGCGGAAAAAUACGUCCUGGGAACAGUCCUGGCAACCAGUAUUUGUGUUAUACCAGCCUAUGUUUUGGUUAAUUUGAAGCAUUAUUCUGGAAAAGAAUAACAGGCUUACUUUCUGUAGAGUACCUUAAAAUUUUGGUGUAAAUAUUUCACUGUUAUACUACUUAGUGCAUUGUUGUUAUUGUCAGCUACUGUGUUGGAUGUAAGAUUGCUACAAGCAUUAACUAAUGAAAUAGUGCUGGUUGUGAGUAAUACAGUUGUGUGAAAGUAAAUUAUGGUGGAAGUUGUCAUAUUUUACUUGUGAAUGAUGUACUAGCUGCAAUAAAAGUUGAUUAUGUACAAAGUA